CGCCAGUUUUGGCGGAGCCAUCCUUGGGAUACCACCCUUGUAGUACUGGGACUCUAACCAUAGGCCAUGAAUCUGGUCUUGGGACACUGUCAGGUGGGCAGUUUGACUGGGGCGGUCGCCUCCCAAAAGGUAACGGAGGCGCUCAAAGGUUCUCUCAGUACGGUCGGAAAUCGUACGUAGAGUGUAAAGGCAAAAGAGAGCUUGAUUGCAAGACAUACAGGUCGAGCAAGGAUGAAAAUCGGACUUAGUGAUCCG
rnacentral:rRNA from 1 species